ACGGAAGGCAGCAGUGAGGAAUAUUGGUCAAUGGGCGAGAGCCUGAACCAGCCAUGUCGCGUGGAGGAAUAAGGAUCUAUGGUUCGUAAACUCCUUUUGCGGGGGGAUAAAGUGCGGGACGUGUCCCGCUUUGCAGGUACCCCGCGAAUAAGCAUCGGCUAACUCCGUGCCAGCAGCCGCGGUAAUACGGAGGAUGCGAGCGUUAUCCGGAUUUAUUGGGUUUAAAGGGUGCGUAGGCGGAAUGUUAAGUCAGUGGUAAAAGCGUGUGGCUCAACCAUACCAAGCCAUUGAAACUGGCGUUCUUGAGUGUAAACGAGGUAGGCGGAAUAUGACGUGUAGCGGUGAAAUGCUUAGAUAUGUCAUAGAACCCCGAUUGCGAAGGCAGCUUACCAGCAUACAACUGACGCUGAGGCACGAAUGCGUGGGUAUCAAACAGGAUUAGAUACCCUGGUA
rnacentral:rRNA from 1 species